rnacentral:rRNA from 1 species
AUUGAACGCUGGCGGCAGGCAUAACACAUGCAAGUCGAACGAGUGGCGGACGGGUGAGUAAUGUCUGGGAAACUGCCCGAUGGAGGGGGAUAACUACUGGAAACGGUAGCUAAUACCGCAUACCAUCGGAUGUGCCCAGAUGGGAUUAGCUAGUAGGUGGGGUAACGGCUAACCUUGGCGACGAUCCCUAGCUGGUCUGAGAGUAUGAGCAGCAAAACUGGAUCUGAGACACGGUCCAGACCCCUACGGGAGGCAGCAGUGGGGAAUAUUUCACAAGGGGCGCAAUCCUGAUGUAUCCAUGACGGGUGUAUGAAGAAGGCCGUCGGGUUGUAAAGUACUUUCAGCGAGGAGGCGUUACUCGCAGAAGAAGCACCGGCUAACUCCGUGCCAGCAGCCGCGGUAAUUC